rnacentral:rRNA from 1 species
GACGAACGCUGGCGGCGUGCUUAACACAUGCAAGUCGAACGGAAAGGCCCUGCUUUUGUGGGGUGCUCGAGUGGCGAACGGGUGAGUAACACGUGAGUAACCUGCCCUUGACUUUGGGAUAACUCCAGGAAACUGGGGCUAAUACCGGAUAGGAGCUCCUGCUGCAUGGUGGGGGUUGGAAAGUUUCGGCGGUUGGGGAUGGACUCGCGGCUUAUCAGCUUGUUGGUGGGGUAGUGGCUUACCAAGGCUUUGACGGGUAGCCGGCCUGAGAGGGUGACCGGCAACACUGGAACGGAGACAGGGUCCAGAGGCCUACGGUAGGCCGCAGUGGGGAAUAGUUCGCAAUGGGCGCAAGCCUGAUGCAGCCGGGCCGCGUGUGUGAAGAAGGCCUUCGGGUUGUAAAGGAGUGUCAGCGGGGGGGAAGGAAGUAGAGUGAAGCCCUGUGCGCAUUGACGUUAGCUGCAGAGGAAGCACCGGCUAACUCCGUG